rnacentral:tRNA from 1 species
GCCUUCGUGAUGUAAAGGUAAGCACGCUUGAUGCGUAUUCGAGAAGUCCGUGGUUCGACUCCCGGCGAUGGCA